GUAACAAGGUUUCCGUAGGUGAACCUGCGGAAGGAUCAUUAACGAGUCUUGACGUGGGUUGUAGCUGGCCUUCCGAGGCAUGUGCACGCCCCGCUCAAUCCACUCUACACCUGUGCACUUACUGCGGGUCUCGGUCUGCGUCGCGGUCUCCACGGCCGUGGUGUUUUCUGGGGUCCGUGUUUUAUUCACAAACCAUUUAAAGUAUCAGAAUGUGUAUUCGCGAUGCAACGCAUCUAUAUACAACUUUCAGCAACGGAUCUCUUGGCUCUCGCAUCGAUGAAGAACGCAGCGAAAUGCGAUAAGUAAUGUGAAUUGCAGAAUUCAGUGAAUCAUCGAAUCUUUGAACGCACCUUGCGCUCCUUGGUAUUCCGAGGAGCAUGCCUGUUUGAGUGUCAUGAAAUUCUCAACCAACAAAUCUCUGUUGGUUUGGACUUGGAGGCUUUGCGGGCCCUCUUUUCUAGGGUUCAGCUCCUCUCAAAUGCAUUAGCCUGGUUUCUUUGUGGAUCGGCUGUCGGUGUGAUAAUUGUCUACGCCGCGACCGUUGAAACAUAACGACGGGCUUCUAACCCGGUCACCUUUCGAGGGGGACCAGCCCUUUAUGACAUCUGACCUCAAAUCAGGUAGGACUACCCGCUGAACUUAAGCAUAUCAA
rnacentral:rRNA from 1 species